rnacentral:lncRNA from 1 species
AAACCUAUAAAUAUGACAAAAUUGAAAUGUUCGAAAUACACAUGUCUCUGAGUCUACAUCAUUGAAGACGUCAUAGUCAUUGAUUGAAUAUGCACUUAGUUGAAAUUAAUCUGUCAAGCUGAACCGAACAAACAACACACCAAGACGGGAAAACAAAAUAUCACCAUAAUAAGACGACAACCAACAAAACAUCACACUAAAACGGAAUCACG